GGAGAGGUGGCUCAGAGGUUAAGAGCACUGACUAUUCUUCCAGAGGUCCUGAGUUCAAUUCCCAGCAACCUCA
rnacentral:tRNA from 1 species